rnacentral:rRNA from 1 species
CCUACGGGUGGCAGCAGUGGGGAAUAUUGGACAAUGGGGGGAACCCUGAUCCAGCCAUGCCGCGUGUGUGAAGAAGGCCCUCGGGUUGUAAAGCACUUUCAGUGAGGAAGAACGCCUGGUGGUUAAUACCCAUCAGGAAAGACAUCACUCACAGAAGAAGCACCGGCUAACUCCGUGCCAGCAGCCGCGGUAAUACGGAGGGUGCGAGCGUUAAUCGGAAUUACUGGGCGUAAAGCGCGCGUAGGUGGCUUGAUAAGCCGGUUGUGAAAGCCCCGGGCUCAACCUGGGAACGGCAUCCGGAACUGUCAAGCUAGAGUGCAGGAGAGGAAGGUAGAAUUCCCGGUGUAGCGGUGAAAUGCGUAGAGAUCGGGAGGAAUACCAGUGGCGAAGGCGGCCUUAUGGACUGACACUGACACUGAGGUGCGAAAGCGUGGGUAGCAAACAGGAUUAGAUACCCGAGUAGUC